GAAAUUGGACCAAUGGAAAUUAUGUUCAGUGGCUUGCAGAUGUACCUAAUUAACCAGCCAGAUUAGAAGGGUCUAGGAUUCCUUUGUAAGGCGCAGCAAAAAAGACAAUCAGAUACAAUAUCAGGGAUCUUCUGGUAAGGCUUCUGGCUACCAUUAGUUCUGAAUAGAGAGGAUUUGAUGAGAAAAAUGGCUGUGAGUUUUGAAAUGUCUUUGAGAAUUUCUUGGAUUUGUUGCCUGCUAAUUGGAGGGAUAACCUGUUAUCCUCCACCUAAAGGUAAUUAUAGAUAUAUUCCCCAAAAUCAUUUAAAAGGAAUUGGCGACAAUGCAGCGGUAGCUACCGGAUCCCGUGCCUCGGCAGGUGAAGCUACCGGAUCCCGUGCCUCGGCAGGUGAAGCAGCCACCCGUAAUGCCACUGCAAGCAUCACGACUGGCCCAAAUACCUUAGGUGGAGCAACCGGAUCCCGUGCCUCAGAAGCAGUCACCCACAAUGCCUCAGCAAGUGUCACGACUGGCCCAAAUACCUUAGCUGAAGCAACUGGCCAUGGUGCCUCGGUAGUGGAAACAACUGGACACAGUGCCAUGCCAGCGGCCACCCAUAAUGCCUCGGAAGUGGCCACCCACAAUGCUUCAUCAAGCGUAACGACUGGCCUAAAUACCUUAGCUGAAGCAACUGGCCACAAUGCUUCAUCAAGCGCCAUGACUGGCCCAAAUGCCUUAGGUGAAGCAGCUGGCCAUAGUGCCUCGGCAGCGGAAGCAACUGGCCACAGUGCCGCGCAAGCUGCCACCCAGAAUGCCUCGGGAAGUGUGGCAACUGGCCCAAAUACCUUAGCUGAAGCAACUGGCCACAAUGCUUCAUCAAGCGUCACGACUGGCUUAAAUACCUUAGCUGAAGCAACUGGCCACAAUGCUUCAUCAAGUGCCACGACUGGCCCAAAUGCCUUAGGUGAAGCAACUGGCCAUGGUGCCUCGGUAAUGGAAGCAACUGGACACAGUGCCAUGCAGCGGCCACCUAUAAUUGCCUCGGAAGCGCGGCCACCCACAAUGCUUCAUCAAGCGUCACUGGACUGGCCAAUACCUGGUGGACA
ensembl:lncRNA